rnacentral:pre_miRNA from 1 species
AGGGGAGCGCCGGAUCCUGGGCUGUGUCCCUGGCGCCCUGUGCUCCCAGGCCUGCUGCUGGGAUCGCGUCCGGGGGCCUCGCAGCCCCCU